AUACGGAGGGGGCUAGCGUUGUUCGGAUUUACUGGGCGUAAAGCGCACGUAGGCGGAUCGAUCAGUCAGGGGUGAAAGGCCUGGGCUCAACCCAGGAACUGCCUUUGAUACUAUCGAUCUAGAAUCCGGGAGAGGUGAGCGGAAUUCCAAGUGUAGAGGUGAAAUUCGUAGAUAUUUGGAAGAACACCGGUGGCGAAGGCGGCUCACUGGACCGGUAUUGACGCUGAGGUGCGAAAGCGUGGGGAGCUGGUAUUACCGUGGCGACUGUCUCUGA
rnacentral:rRNA from 1 species